rnacentral:lncRNA from 1 species
CAACAAAUGACCUACCGAGGCACAACCUGAGAGAGGCAGGCAGGCGAAGAUCAAAUAUAAUCGUCAUUCCUGAAAAAGCCACUGUGAAGAAUGUGGCUGUCAUCUGCAGCCCUCGGCUAUGUGAGCACCACCAGCGACAGACAGAUGAUUUAACGCAGAUGUGGGCAGCAGUGCUUCCCCCCUUGGAGACAUAAGAAGGAGAAACACUGAAUAAAUGUAACAAGUUAAAGCACAGAGAAAUGGGCUUAAUACCUUCACCCAUCUGCCAGUCAGGCUCAGGCAGGUUCCCCUUACGCACGUACUGAUCGGUUCUCGGCUGAACACUCGUGGGAACCUUCUGCAGACCUCCGGCUCCCUCUGUGCAGCGCUCUGUCCUCCUGCUCCGCCCUGUGGAUCCUGCCACCUAGGCUUGCCUGGACUCCCAGCUGGCUGUGCUCCGCUCAGGAGGAGGCUGGUCCCGUCUCCUUACCCCAUGGCCUGGAGACUCUCCACGCGGCUAGCCGGGCAUCUCAGGGCUCACCCCACUUGAUUCCCGUUUUCCUUCAUUGCCUGACGCUCAGUGUCACGAAAGCUCGUCUUGUAGAUUUUUCUCUUUCUCAGGGUUGUUUUUUUUUUUUUAGAGAGAGAGUCUCGUGCUGUCACCCAGGCUCUUGACAGAGUCUUGACAGAGUCUUGUUCUUUUACCCAAUGAAGUGCAGUGGUGCAAUCUCGGUUCACUGCAACCUCCACCUGCCGGGUUCAAGCAAUUCUUGUGCCUCAGCCUCCCGUGUAGCUGGGACUACAGGAGCACACCACCGUGCUCUGCUAAUGUAGAGAUGGGGUUUUGCCGUGUUGGCCAGGCUGGUCUUGAACUCCUGGCCUCAAGUGAUGUGCCAACUUGGCCCCUCAAAGUGCUAGGAUUAGAGAUGUGAGCCACGCCCAGCCUCAGGUUUUUCAGUUGUUUCAGAGCAGAGGGUAAACCUGGUCCUUGUCCCAUUUUGACCAGAAUCAGAAGUCCUCUUUGUAAACCAAAAAUACAAUUCUGAGGCUCCCCAUCCAUCAGAAUGGACCCCACCUCUCAGCCAGGGCACUCCAAAGCUAACCUGAAAAACUGGUUCAGACCAUGCCAGGAAGCAGGGUGGGACAUGCCUCACGAUGCCCUCCUCCCUUUGUGAGUUCUGGAAAAGCCAACCAGUGUUUAAGAUCAACACAGACCUUAAGCCUGAUAAGAAGUAUUUACAAGCUAUUCUCUCUGAAGCCUGCUACCUGGAGGCUUCAUCUGCAGGAUAAAAGCUUUGUCUCCACAACCCCUUAUCAUAACCCAGACAUUCCUUUCUAUUGAUAAUAACUCGUUUUUUUUUUUUGAGAUGGAGUCUCACUGUCACCCAGGCUGGAGUGCAGUGGCUCAAUCUCAGCUCACUGCAGCCUCCGCCUCUCGGAUUCAAGUGAUUCUCCCGCCUCAGCCUCCCAGGUAGCUGGGAUUACAGGCGCCCACCACCACACCCAGCUAAUUUUUGUAUUUUUAGUAGAGACAGGGUUUUGCCAUGUUGGCCAGCCUGGUCUUGAAUUCCUGACCUCACGUGAUCUGCCUGCCUCAGCCUCCCAAAGUGCUAGGAUUACAGGCAUGAGCCACCACACCUGGCCGAUAAUAACUCUUUCAACCAAUUGCCAUCAGAAAAAUUUUAAAUUAAGUCUACCUAUAACUUGGAAGUCCCCCACUUGAAGUCGUCCCGCCUUUCUAGGCUGAACCAACGUAUUUCUUACAUGAAUCUGAUUGAUGUCUCAGGUCUCCUGAAAUGUAUAAAACGGAGGCUACGCCCUGGUCCCCUUGGGCACAAGGGCUGGGUCAUGGGCCAUGGUCACUUAUAUUUGGUUCAGAAUAAAUCUCUUCG